GACGAACGCUGGCGGCGUGCUUAACACAUGCAAGUCGAACGAAGAGCGAUGGAAGCUUGCUUCUAUCAAUCUUAGUGGCGCACGGGUGAGUAACGCGUAAUCAACCUGCCCUUCAGAGGGGGACAACAGAUGGAAACGACUGCUAAUACCUCAUACGAUCUAAUCUCGGCAUCUUGGAUAGAUGAAAGGUGGCCUCUACAUGUAAGCUUUCACUGAAGGAGGGGAUUGCGUCUGAUUAGCUAGGUGUAGGGGUAACGGCCCACCAAGGGGAUGAUCAGUAGCCGGUCUGAGAGGAGGAGCGGCCAAAUUGGGACUGAGACACGGCCCAGACUCCUACGGGAGGCAGCAGUGGGGAAUCUUCACCAAUGGACGAAAGGCUGACGGAGCAACGCCGCGUGAGUGAUGACGGCCUUAGGGUUGCAAAGCUCUGUUAAUCGGGACGAAAGGACUUCUUGCGAACAGUUAGAAGGAUUGACGGUACCGGAAUAGAAAGCCACGGCUAACUACGUG
rnacentral:rRNA from 1 species